AUUGAACGCUGGCGGCAGGCUUAACACAUGCAAGUCGAGCGGUAACAGAGAGAAGCUUGCUUCUCUGCUGACGAGCGGCGGACGGGUGAGUAAUGCCUAGGAAUCUGCCUAGUAGUGGGGGAUAACUUGCCGAAAGGUAGGCUAAUACCGCAUACGUCCUACGGGAGAAAGGAGGGGACCUUCGGGCCUUUCGCUAUUAGAUGAGCCUAGGUCGGAUUAGUUAGUUGGUAAGGUAAUGGCUCACCAAGACCGCGAUCCGUAACUGGUCUGAGAGGAUGAUCAGUCACACUGGAACUGAGACACGGUCCAGACUCCUACGGGAGGCAGCAGUGGGGAAUAUUGGACAAUGGGGGGAACCCUGAUCCAGCCAUGCCGCGUGUGUGAAGAAGGUCUUAGGAUUGUAAAGCACUUUAAGUUGGGAGGAAGAGCAGUUAACUAAUAUUUGACUGUUUUGACGUUACCGACAGAAUAAGCACCGGCUAACUUCGUGCCAGCAGCCGCCGUAA
rnacentral:rRNA from 1 species